AAAUAUAUUGUAUAACAAUCCAUAACAAAAUAUAUUGUAUAACAAUCCAUAACAAAAUAUAUUGAAUAACGUGGAACUGUCCACCUUAUAAAUUACUAUGGUAAUGCAUAAAUACAUCAAACAAAGCAACAUUCACAAAAUGGGAGGAAAAAAAUUCGAUCCUUUAUGACACAUUUCACAAUUCUUUUCUCCCGUACCGAAAAUGUCAUCAUCGGUCCAUUAUUGGCAAUAUCCACAGUUCCACAAUGUUUUAAGAUAGUGAUCUAUACUUGUAAAACGUGGACUGAUCCACGUUAUACAAAAUAUAUUGUAUAACGUGGAUUGAUCCACGUUAUACAAAAUAUAUUGUAUAACGUGGAUCAGUCCACGUUUUACAAACAUCCACAAAACUAACAAAAAUAACAGCAACAUAACAAUCCAUA